UGUGCAUUUCGAAACCUUCAUCAUAUCAGACCGGGAAAGACGACGUGUUUGUAGCCUAUGCAUUUAGAGAAGAGGAGAAUUCACAAUAAAUCCCUCUCACAGCCACCGGAGGGCGAGCAUUCAAGGUGAGCACGGAAGCCUAACGGAUGAGAGGAUAACUAUACAAAUCAUUGGAAAUCUCCUUUGAUAUAUUCAUUUGAUCGCCUAUUCCCUAUGGGCACAAUGCUAUUGAUUUUUUAAACCAAUCUCUUCUUGGCUUUUCUAUAGCGUUCGGGUGAAUAAGAUAUACAUUGUUUAGGAACCUUUGAUUCCGGUUAUAAUGUUCACCAGGGGACCCAUUUAACUGUACAACAAUGCCGGUCCGUUGCCUUUCUCUGUCGUUCCGGUAAGCUUCCGUAUAAUACAUAAUAAUAAUAACACCAUCUCUGAUGGUGGUGAGAAUAGAUUUUAGAAUAACCCGUUAGUAAGUAGCUUGCUAUUUAGCCAGCUCCUAUAGGUUACCUAUGGCUUUCGCUAACCCGUUAGCAAGUAGGCCGCGCUAGCCAGCUGGCGAUUAAAGACAGUAGGGCCGAGCCAGGGAUGCCUGUCUGCAUAGAGAAACCAGAGCCGGGACUAACCCCAUUCUGUAAAUGUUUCUAUUUGUGUAGUACACAGUUAUUGUACAGUUUCUCUCCAUCUUUCUUUCUGCUAUGAUUAUUGUGUGUGUGUGUGUGUGUGUGUGUGUGUGUGUGUGUGUGUGUGUGUGUGUGUGUGUGUGUGUGUGUGUGUGUGUGUGUGUGUGGUUUCUCAACAGGUGUUUAAUGUCCUGGUCCUGGAUGCAGCUACCUUGAUAGUGUGAUGUCCAUCUCUUCUGGCUCUAAUAGGACAAAUCUGCAGACUCCUGUAAGAUUGAACCCUGGCAGGUGUACAGAAAACCUUUGGAUGCUACAGAAUGCCCUGGGCCCAGGCAGGGGAAUCAGCCUUCAACCUGGCCCCACAACACCUUCCCUGGAAGGAACUGAGCCUGAAACUACACCCCCUCUUCACCCUGCUCUAUGCACCUAUUAUGAUUAUUGAAAUAAAUGUCAUGAAAAUGA